rnacentral:piRNA from 1 species
UCAAACUAUUCAACAUGGGCGUGCCGGA